CCUACGGGGGUCAGCAGUGAGGAAUAUUUGUCAAUGGGCGCGAGCCUGAACCAGCCAAGUAGCGUGAAGGAUGACUGCCCUACGGGUUGUAAACUUCUUUUAUAAAGGAAUAAAUUGAGGCACGUGUGCCUUUUUGUAUGUACUUUAUGAAUAAGGAUCGGCUAACUCCGUGCCAGCAGCCGCGGUAAUCCGGAGGAUGCGAGCGUUAUCCGGAUUUAUUGGGUUUAAAGGGUGCGUAGGCGGUUUAUCAAGUCAGAGGUAAAAUCGUGGAGCAAAAAUCCAUCCAGCCGUUGAAACUGAUGAUCUUGAGUGGGCGAGAAGUAUGCGGAAUGCGUGGUGUAGCGGUGAAAUGCAUAGAUAUCACGAAGAACGCCGAUUGCGAAGGCAGCAUACCGGCGCCCGACUGACGCUGAAGCACGAAAGCGUGGGUAUCGAACAGGAUUAGAUACCCGGGUAGUC
rnacentral:rRNA from 1 species